AUGCUGCAGCUCAGCGCUUCGAGAGGCAGCGGCCAACGUCAAAGAUGCGCUCGCGGCGGCGGCCGGCGGCUGGUGCGGCAGCAAGCUCGAGGUGCUCAACUCCCCGGAAAUCCCGUGCUACGCGGUUCCGUCGCCAACGUGGCCGCGCUCUCCGGCUACUGCAGUCAGUUGAAUCUGUUCGAUGAUGCGGUUGGUGCAGACAAGGACGCUGGCGGUGGCGGGCAGGGGUUUGCGGCCCUGGACGGCUGGAUGAUGGGUGCCGGCCUCGGGUCUUACCUUGACCUGUCCGGCAACCUCAUCGGCUGCGAUGUGGCCGCCAGGGCGCUCUCCGGCUGCCGCAGUCUCAGAGCGCUCAACCUCUCCAGCAACCAUCUCGCCGGCGCGUUUCUGCCGAACAUCGCUGGUCCUGUGUGUAGUCCUCGCCGCUCCGUCCGCGGAGACCGGAGGCCAUGGUGGCGGGCCGCCUCGGCAUGGUGUCGCAGCACGAGCGGGGGAGAGCGCGGCCACGCUGUUGGUUCCUUAGGUCGACCUGGCGGUUGCAGCAUGUUUCUCGCGCCCGCCCAGACUGCAGGUGAUCCACCUACAGCCUGCGUCGCCACCAUGGGGAACUAUCGCCUCAGUGGUGUCCAAGAUCGGCAAGUACGUCAAUCCUGGGGACACGAUCGACUAGAUGAAGAAGCUGUUGGAGAGGAUCUGGCGACUGCAGGAGCCGAGCCGGAUAUGCCGCUGGGCAGGCUGGUUUUUCAAUUUGGUCCGCUGUGCCGAACACUGGCGGUCUGGUGGUUAUUCUAUAAGCUGAAUAUACGCCCCAACCUGAACUAUCUCCAUUGCACAGAAAAAUUCAUCAUAAUCACUACAUCAACUGCUAAUUCUCUUCAUGGGAUCACCACUUCUAUCAAGUGGAAUCAACCGAGCCGUUGCUUUAGAUGGAGGCAGCAGCUAUUACUACCAAACCUUGAAAAGCAAUUGGAAACAACCCCCCAACCUUCUCCGACAGUAGUAGAGUUAUUAAGUAGCCAGGGAGCUGUGUACGCAUGA
rnacentral:rRNA from 1 species